rnacentral:rRNA from 1 species
CGGUGGUCAUUGCGUUAGGGAAACGCCCGGUUACAUUCCGAACCCGGAAGCUAAGCCUUUCAGCGCCGAUGGUACUGCAGGGGGGCACCCUGUGGGAGAGUAGGACGCCGCC